rnacentral:rRNA from 1 species
CUACGUGCCAGCAGCCGCGGUAAUACGGAGGAUGCGAGCGUUAUCCGGAUUUAUUGGGUUUAAAGGGUGCGUAGGCGGCCUGUUAAGUCAGCGGUGAAAUCUAGGAGCUUAACUCCUAAAUUGCCAUUGAUACUGGCGGGCUUGAGUGUAGAUGAGGUAGGCGGAAUGCGUGGUGUAGCGGUGGAAUGCAUAGAUAUCACGCAGAACUCCGAUUGCGAAGGCAGCUUACUAAGGUACAACUGACGCUGAAGCACGAAAGCGUGGGUAUCAAACAGGAUUAGAUACCCUGGUAGUCCACGCAGUAAACGAUGAUAACUGGGCGUAUGCGAUAUACAGUAUGCUCCUAAGCGAAAGCGUUAAGUUAUCCACCUGGGGAGUACGCCGGCAACGGUGAAACUCAAAGGAAUUGACGGGGGCCCGCACAAGCGGAGGAACAUGUGGUUUAAUUCGAUGAUACGCGAGGAACCUUACCCGGGCUUGAACUGCAGCUGAACGAUUCAGAGAUGAU